GCGGUGCAUGACAUAAAAACUGUUGAAAAAACAACUACUUAACGUCUUCACUGAAGAAAAAUGGCCAAGGGUGACGUGAUGUCACUGUUCUCCACCUACACAGGAAGUGUUCUGAGAGUACCUGUCCAGUUAUGCCACAAGGCACAUCACCUCUUUGUACUCCAGUUUACACACAGGCUGGAAGCAGAAUGCCACAUGGGUUUACAGUGAAAAGUCUUAUGUGUCAAUUAUGUGUCUGAGUGUGGGUACCAUAUCCGUUUUUCU